AUUCUUUAAUUAUUUUACUUUCAUUGCAAUAUUUUUAAUCAUGUUGAUUUUCCACUCAAAGAUAACAAGAUUUCAUUCCCAUUUGUGCUGAUGACUAAAGACUUUAAACUCACACACAACUCAUGACAAAGGACAAUAUGGUAUCUGAGGAAGAAAAACAUUAACUGUUGAUUUCAUCCUUGUGGGGAUAGUUAUAAAAAUUUAAACUCACUGCAUAAAACAGAAUGGACUGAGACUAAGGAAGUAUGAUUCCAGGUACAGUUCUUUUAUUGUAUGAUUUUAAAAAAAUUCCAGCCUUAGUUUCAUAAAAGAAGAUAUUAACUUAAGGAGUCCUUCAGCCAUGAAACGCUAAAGUCUUCUCAUCUAACUGUGCUUAACUUGUAAAAUAUCAUAACACUCUUGGGGUAUACUGUGCAGGUCAGGGUUGAUUCAGAAUUUACUGAUUGGAAGUAUCUAUUCCUAUGUUCCAUUCUAUCUUAAUUGAUUUCAUAUAAUAUAAUAUAUUUGAUUUUCCACAGAGAAUUGAAAUUAUCUUAUCCAUUACAAGAUGAUUAUGAUUUAACUAAUAUCCUUUAACUCAAUUUCAGCUAUUUGCCAAUAUGCAGAAAUGUAUUUGACUAUCACAAAUAGGGGAAGGCUUUUGAUAUCUAACAGAAGAUAUGGAGAAGAAAUGCUAACACACUGCAAUGUAAAGAGCUGAACUCUCAACAAUAAGCUACUUUGUUCUAUGUGUCAAUAAGAGCUGAGGAGGGAGAAAAUGAAGGAAGGGAGAGAGAGGGAGCAAGAAGAAGAGAACAAGUUUGCUUAUUUUGUGCCAAAUGUGGGGUAAUGUCUUAGUUUGCUUUCUGUUGGUUUGAUAAACCUCAUGACCAAAAGAAUCAAGAGAAAGGGGGCUCAUUUCAGCAUAUACUUGUAGGUCAUAAUCAAUUUUUGAUAGAAGUUAAGAAUCCAAGGUAGGAGUUUGAGGCAUCGAAUACUGAAAUAUACAGACUUAAUUGUGAUUUAUGCUGUCACCUCUGUUAGAUCAACCAGGACUACCAUAGAUGGCAUGCCCAAAAUGGGCUGGGUUCUCUCACAUCAAUUAACAAUCAAGAUAAUUCCUCCAAAAUAAUGCCACAGGCCAAUCAAGUCUGAGAAAUUUCCCAAUUGAGACUCUUCAGAUGAUUCUAGACUGUGUCCUGUUGACAGCAGAACUGAUUUAAGGUAAAGACUAUGUAAACUAUAUCAUCAUAUUUAAUGCUUUAUGAAUCAAGUAAUAUUUGUACAUAGUUACUUUCAAUAUCCAUGGAAUAGUUUCAAAAGAUCAAGGAACUAAAUAUUAAGAGCAUGACCUCUAUUAGUUGGUAAUGGGUUUGUAUUCUCAUUUUAUCACUUGAGAGUUGUAGAAACUUAGACAUGUAUUUAUCUUCUUUACUUCCUAAUUUUCUCAUUAGAAGAUAUUUAAUGAUAUCUUUUGUGAACACUAAGCAUUUAUACCUAGGAUCUAUCAAUGAUGAUUGUGAUGAAAGUAUGAGUUUGUUAACUAACUUACUAAAAAUUACACAGAUCAGUUUUUUUUUUUAACCCAAAGUGGUUGAACUAAUUUAAUUUUUU
rnacentral:lncRNA from 1 species